AUUGAACGCUGGCGGCAGGCCUAACACAUGCAAGUCGAACGAGUGGCGGACGGGUGAGUAAUGUCUGGGAAACUGCCUGAUGGAGGGGGAUAACUACUGGAAACGGUAGCUAAUACCGCAUACCAUCAGAUGUGCCCAGAUGGGAUUAGCUAGUUGGUGGGGUAACGGCUCACCAAGGCGACGAUCCCUAGCUGGGCUGAGAGGAUCCCAAGCAAAACUGGAACUGAUACACGGUCCAGACUCCUACGUGAGUCAGCAGUGGGGAAUAUUGCACAAGGGGCGAAAGCCGGAUGCAGCCAGGCCGCGUGUAUGAAGAAGGCCUUCGGGUUGUAAAGUACUUCCAGCGGGGAGGCGUUACCCGCAGAAGAAGCACCGGCUAACUCCGUGCCAGCAGCCGCGGUAAUAC
rnacentral:rRNA from 1 species